UCCAGUGUAUUAGAGAUGGUCAGUUUGUGGUAGUGGUGUCUCGAGACGUUACCUUGCCUCGACUGAGUCUGGAUUCGGUUCAACUACUGGGUGGAAACGACCCACCUUGUGCUCCUGUGGGGUCUACACCUUCCUUUGCUAUAUACCAGUUCCCUGUGACCGGCAUGUGGCACGAGCGUGAUGGAGGACGGUGGAUAUGUGGUGUAUGAAAACCGAAUGACCUCAUCGUAUGAAGUGGGGAUUGGACCAUAUGGUUCCAUCACAAGGGACAGUCAUUUUGAGUUUCUCUUCCAGUGUAGAUAUUCGGGGA